rnacentral:rRNA from 1 species
AUUGAACGCUGGCGGCAGGCCUAACACAUGAAAGUCGAACGAGUGGCGGACGGGUGAGUAAUGUCUGGGAAACUGCCCGAUGGAGGGGGAUAACUACUGGAAACGGUAGCUAAUACCGCAUACCAUCGGAUGUGCCCAGAUGGGAUUAGCUAGCAGGUGGGGUAACGGCUCACCUAGGCGACGAUCCCUAGCUGGUCUUAGAGGAUGACCAGCCACACUGGAACGGAGACACGGUCCGACCUCCUACGGGAGGCAGCAGUGGGGUCUCUUGCCCAAUGGGCCCAAGCCUAAUGCAGCCAUGCCGCGUGUAUGACGAAGGACUUCACGUUGUAACGUACGUUCAGCGAGGAGGCGUUACUCGCAGAAGAAGCACCGGCUAACUCCGUGCCAUCCGCCGCGGUAAUUC